UCACGCUGGAACACAGGUUCCCGUACGUUCACUGAAGUUAAGCAACGCCGAGCCUGGUCAGUUCCUAGAUGGCUGACUGCUUCGGAAUGCCAGGUGUUGUAAG